AACAGCUAGCUCAACCCACAAAAGCUAAAUUUACGACAUAGAAUAACCCAGCACAAACUAACUACCUUAACUAAACCAUUCGACCACCCCAGUACGGGCGACAGAAAAGGACCAAUAGAAGCUAUAGAUAAAGUACCGCAAGGGAAAGCUGAAAGAGAGCUGAAAAUAGCGCACUAAAGUAAGUAAAAGCAGAGAUAAAAUCUCGUAC
rnacentral:rRNA from 1 species